GAGUUUUGCUCUUGUCACCCAAGCUGGAGUGCAAUGGCACGAUCUUGGCUCACUGCAACCUCUACCCCCUGGGUUCAAGCGAUUCUCCUGCCUCAGCCUCCUGAGUAGCUGGGAUUAUAGGUGCGCACCACCACACCCGGCUAAAUUUUUGUAUUUUUAGUAGAGAUGGGGUUUCACCAUGUUGGCCAGGCUGGUCUUGAACUCCUGACCUGUGAUCAACCCAACUCAGCCUCCCAAAGUGCUGGGAUUACAGGCGUGAGCCACCGCAACUGGCCCAAAAAUCUUUACUUAAAUUUUGCAUUCUACGUGGGUUUUCCUUUUCUUUUUUUCUGGUUCAAAAUAAAAGCAAGACUUGAGUGACUUCAAGUUUGGGUGAAGCGCUCAUUCCAUCGGACCUUCUGGGAAGUUAGAAAAAAAUUCUGCUCGUGGCUUGAAAGUCUCCUUGCAUCGGUUCCAUUUGGCCUUUGAACUAUAAGCUCACCCUGAGAGCUCUCUUUCUGCUGCUCUUUAAUACGCAAGUAUUACAACAUGCCUUUAUUUCUUCCAUGCAAUGGACUGCCCCAGGACAACUGCUUAAUAAAGGAACAAAUAAGAAAGCCCUGAAAACACUGUCUGCCAAGAGGGAUGUUUGAUUUGGGGGUUCACUUAUUCCCUUUGGUACACACAGUCAAAUCCAAAGCAUCCUUUGUUCUGGGCAGAAGUUCUUCAGGGAGUUAUGAGCCCAGUCCCCUGGGUGUAUGUGACAAACCACAGAGGCCCAAUGUUCAGAAAACAAAAUGUCCUGGUGAGGCGACACUGGCUAACUCUAUGUCUGCCUGAAAACUCACUUUGGAGAACUGUGACAGCUGACCCUUGAGGAACCUUGAGGGCAUCUGGUCCAAUCCCUUCAUUUUGGGGCUGAGGAAACAGACUCUGAUGCAUUAAGAUCCCUGUUCAAGGUCACUCAGCAAAUUACUGCAGUGUGAGAAGGAGGCCUCACGAUUGCCUCUUUCCUUGCAACCAAGCUGGUAUUGCCAACCUUCUUCCAAUGAUGUUUGCAAAAGACAUGUGUGUCUACUUUCCUGCUUUGGUAGGUUAAGAACAGCAAGACAAUUUUUUCUUUGUUGUAUUGAAUCUUACGUUGUCUGAAGGUCUUUAAGAUGACAAGUGUUUUUAAUUUUUUUUUAAAAAAAGGGACUGAGCAGUUGUUGACUCUGGUUGAAAGACAUAUAAUUUGAUUAUAUUACGAUUAGUAGUAGUAUAAAAAAUUAGCCUAUAAUUGUAAUUUUCUGAAGCUUGGAAUCGAAGAGUUACAAACAGAACUCGGGAUGUACACUGAAUAUACUAUACCCUGGCAUUUUCAAAGAUUUUUAAAACUGUUGUUAUUUAUUUAAACUCCAUUUCCAACAUUAGCCUGUUCUUUUCAUUUGGUGCCACAAAGAAAUCUAGCGAGGUCAAGUAUGUGGUUGGUCAGGUUCUAGAUAAUUGAGGUCUCACUGCAAGUUCUACCACAGUGACCAUGUGCUCUGCCUGUAGCUGAGUUUCCUGAGUGUUCUCAACAAGUUCUGUAAGUGUGCUAAGCAUGUUUUUGAAUGUUCCAGUUUAGAUUGGACAUGAAGAGCUGAAAACAGGAUUUCAUAACCCUUGAUACCAGUCACUAAAACAUUUCCACCAAGAACAACUCAAUUUUCAUCUGAACUUAUAAAUGGACAAUAUCUAGUGCUUUGGGCAUGAAUGCUGCCAGUCUAGGGGGAAACCAAAUAAAAUGCCAGGCUGCAGCCCCCUAUGCCAUCCUCCAGCCCAGCGGCUGGCCUCUUCUUCACUUCUCCCCCAUUAUAUUUAGUCCUCUCUUUCCCUCUGCUAGUUCUCCAGAGCAGCCGGCUCAGGUCCAUGACAAGUGCCCCAGGCAGAUGGGACAACCUGGGCAGGAGCCACAGAGGUUGCAGAAGGCUCCUGGGCAGAUCCUUGGAGGAGAAAGCCAGGGAACACCUUGCCUUAUCCUUGGGAGGGCUGGACUCCACUGGAAACACACAAAGAUCGCCUAGACCUUGGGCCAUCCCACCUCCCAAGGGCCAUGGGUGGGCACAGAAUGUGUACUUUCUGGAAAAGAAGAAGGUUGGUUACUGGAGAAAGUUCAGCCUGAUGAUAAUUAUCUGUAAAGCACGCAGACACCGAGAACUUUUCAACAUCGGGCUAUGGAUUUGGCGAGGCCCAGAGUUUCUCAACGUUGGCACUACUGAUGUUUUGGGCUAAUCUUUGUUGGGGCUGGGGGGCUGUCCUGUGUAGAGACAUAUAUAGAAUGCUUAACAGCAUGUCUGGCUCCCUCACACUGGAUGCCGGUAGCACACCCACCUGCAGCUGUGACAACUGAAAAAAAAUACCUCUAAACAUUGCCAAAUGUCCCCUGGGGGGCAAAUCUGCUCUCUUCCCUCCCCUUGAGAUCCCCCUGGGCUAAGGAAAUGCUCUGAGAUGAGCAAGAUGCGGGAAAACAGAAGGAAUUCCCCCUGCCCGCCCCCCAAGACAGAGUUUUGCUCUUGUUGCCCAGGCUGGAGUACAGUGGCGUGAUCUUGGCUCACUGCAACCUCCAGUUCAGGUGAUUCUCCUGCCUCAGCCUCCUGCGUAGCUGGGAUUACAGCCAUGCACCACCACGCCUGGCUAAUUUUUGCAUUUUUAGUAGAGACGGGGUUUCACCAUAUUGGCCAGGCUGGUCUCAAACGCCUGACCUCAGGUGAUCCACCUGCCCCAGCCUCCCAAAGUGCUUGGAUUACAGGCGUGAGCCACUGUGCCUGGCCAAACAGAAGCAAUUUACACCUCAGAGCAAGCGUUUACCCAGCACUUCUCACUCAGUAACUCAUUGGAUAAAGGGAUCCUGCAGGCUGAGUAUCUCAUCACUCCCAUUUUACAGAUGAAAAAUUUUUGAUGCUGAGUGACUUGCCCAAAGUCACCCAGCAAGGAACAGUGCCUGGGCUUGAACCUAGAUGUUACACUCCAAACUCAGUUCUCUAUGACUACAAAGCACACUGGGUUUAAAUCAGCAGAGAUUCUCUUUUGGCUGUGGUGAGAGCCCCUCCCUUCCCCCAUGCAAAGACGACGGUUAAAUAUUGAAGGAGGAGGAGGAGGAGAGUGUUUAGGGCUUUUCUAUUUAAUAGCUUUGGUCUUCACAAACUUUUUUCUCCAAGCACCAAGUUGAUGGGGAUUGCUUUUUCUUGAGUGUCAGCAGGAUCAUAGAACUUUCAAGUCACAAAUAAAAGAUGCUACAAAGAUCUGGAUUGGUCUGUGACUACUGGAAGAAAAGGGAAAAGUUGCCAGGCUUCACAGAAUCUUCUGGGUGGCCAUUUCACUCUGCUGAAAAUUAGGCCUGACAAUGGUUUAUGUUUUUUUAAGAGAUCACUCAUGGUUCCAUUCAGCAUGCUCACAGCCCUUGGCAACGUUCUGAUGGGCUUAAGGCAACAGCGGACUUCACCUCAGCUUUCAUUAAAAUCCCUCACCCCCAAAGCUGACCUCCAACAAUACAGGAAGCUUGAAAUGGAGUCAGUCACAAAGCCAGGCACCUAGGGCCCUGGAGAAAACCUGAAUCAUAAUACAGCAGCAGAGCAAAUAAGUAAUCAAAAUGUGGACUACCAACAAAAAUUCCUCUUCCCUACUGUACAUGGAGCAACAAACAGAAAGGAUGAGAGAGAAAACUUCAGAACUUUGACUCUUUCUGCAGGAAUCAUGACCCCAAAACUAUGGCCCCAAAUAGAAAACUCAGCUGUCGGUGUAACUGAACAAAGAAGCUAACACCACAAUAAAGGGCAGGAGCUUCCAUCAA